rnacentral:rRNA from 1 species
CCUGAUCCAGCCAUGCCGCGUGAGUGAAGAAGGCCUUCGGGUUGUAAAGCUCUUUCGGCCGGGAAGAAAUCGUGUUCUCUAACAUAGGACAUGGAUGACGGUACCGGACUAAGAAGCACCGGCUAACUACGUGCCAGCAGCCGCRGUAAU